ACCAGGCUUUAAUCCUAACAUUUAAGAGGAAGAGCAGGUGGGCCUCUGUGAGGAUCGGGUCAGCCUCGUCUACACAGAGUUCCAGACCACCUAUGAAUUCACAGCAGUUGUGGUUGCUUGGAUCAAGCCAGUUAACAUUCAAGCAUGGAGGCGUGUUAGGUCCAAAGUGGACCCCCAAAAUGUCAGUGUCAGGGACAAUGUCUAAAUGACAGUCUGGACUCAGCUCAGGCUGGACUCUGACCAGGUAAAUAGAAGGGUUGCUAGCAGAUAAACAAAAGCCUAAAAUCAGCAUGCUGUGGGAUGGUCUGUAUGUCAAAUGUGUUGCUGAUUGGUCAAUGAAUAAAUCACUGAUUGGCAGUGGCCAGGCAGGAAGUAUAGGCGGGACUAACAGAGAGGAAAAAUUGAGAGAACAGGAAGCUGGGAGAGGAGACACUGCCAGCCGCCAUCAGGAUAAGGAAGAUGUAAAGUACCGAAAGCCAGAGGCUAUGGAUUUGUUCCAGAUUAAGAUACAUCAGGUUUGACCAGCCAAGACCCCCUGAAAGGUCUCCGAUGACACCAUGGCUCAGAUGAUCCAACAUCCAGAACCGUUUCAAGGCAACUGGCUCAGAUGAUACAGCCUCACGGACUACUCCAUGAUCCUAAAAUUUUCUUUGUUUCCCCAGAAGAAACAGCGCCCCCCUCCAGCAGGAAGUAGUAAGAAAAGCUACGCCCAAAUUCCCAAAUAUACCAAGCUGACUUUGGAGAUAUGUAAAGGUUAAAACCUUCCUUUUUAAGAAAAGAAAAGGGGAGGUGCUGUGGGAUGGUCUGUAUGUCAAAUGUGUUGCUGAUUGGUCAAUGAAUAAAUCACUGAUUGGCAGUGGCCAGGCAGGAAGUAUAGGCGGGACUAACAGAGAGGAAAAAUUGAGAGAACAGGAAGCUGGGAGAGGAGACACUGCCAGCCGCCAUCAGGAUAAGGAAGAUGUAAAGUACCGGUAAGCCACAAGCCACGUGGCAAGGUAUAGAUUAAUAGAAAUGGAUUAAUUUAAGCUGUAAGAACAGUUAGCAAGAAGCCUGCCACAGCCAUACAGUUUGAAACCAA